rnacentral:rRNA from 1 species
UACGGAGGGAGCAAGCGUUACUCGGAAUUAUUGGGCGUAAAGGGCGCGUAGGCGAUUCGAUAAGUCUCAUGUGAAAUCCCAGGGCCUAACCCUGGAAUGGCAUGGGAUACUGUUGGAUUUGAGUUCCGGAGAGGAAGGCAGAAUUCCCGGUGUAGCGGUGAAAUGCGCAGAUAUCGGGAAGAACACCCGUGGCGAAGGCGGCUCUCUGGGACGGUACCGACGCUGAGACGCGAAAGCGUGGGGAGCGAACAGG